CUGAACCGAUUUUUAUAAAAUUUUGUAUGCGUAUAGGGUAGGGUAGGCGCAACAGUGCUGCGGUAAACAUCAGCUCCGUAAAUAUUACUCGUUUUUAAAAUAAUUAAAGUGGAAACUUUGCUAUAUAAGAGUAAAAUAGUGAUAAAAAACUGACAAGAUAAGUGGAACAUAAGUAACCAUUUGGAUUAAGUGCAGUGUUUUGUAGAUAAGUGAAAAAUAAAGAAAAGAAAGACUAAGUGCUAAUUGACAAUUUAACAACAUACUAAAAUUAAAUUUCAAACAGUGCUCGAAAUAUUUUUUGGAUAACUAGAAAAACAGAACUCAUCGUAAGUAAAAUAGCAAAAUUUGUAAAUAAAGUAAAAUCAAAUAAAAGCAAAAUAAAACACGAUUCAUCUUAACAACCAGCGACAUCUAUUCUUCGGUACUUGUACUAAACCAUCAAACGAAAUUCCGGAAGUUUAAACACAACAAUAACAGAGGGCGUUAACAAUACCUAAAAAUGGAUGAACUUAAAAAGAUGAUGCAGGAAUUAAAAACUGACAUGAAUAAGAAAUUUGCCUCCAUCGACUCUCAAUUCUUGCAAAUGGAAAAAAAUAUCACAACGAAAAUUACCGAACACUUUGAUACGAAGUUCCAGGAAAUGAAUAAUGACUUAGAAAAACUACGUAAUAAGCUGGAAGAACAGGAAAAAAGGAUAUAUGCCUUAGAGAAGAAUAAUGUACAGAGAAACUUAGUUUUUUUUGGUAUAAAUGAGGAA